rnacentral:rRNA from 1 species
UAGGUGGCAAGCGUUGUCCGGAUUUAUUGGGCGUAAAGCGAGCGCAGGCGGAAGAAUAAGUCUGAUGUGAAAGCCCUCGGCUUAACCGAGGAACUGCAUCGGAAACUGUUUUCCUUGAGUGCAGAAGAGGAGAGUGGAACUCCAUGUGUAGCGGUGGAAUGCGUAGAUAUAUGGAAGAACACCAGUGGCGAAGGCGGCUCUCUGGUCUGCAACUGACGCUGAGGCUCGAAAGCAUGGGUAGCGAA